rfam:Triticum aestivum genome assembly, contig: Triticum_aestivum_CS42_TGACv1_scaffold_622882_7DS
AUCAUAAUCCCUCCGUCCCAAAAUUCUUGUCUUAGAUUCUAGAUACGGAUGUAUCUAACACUAAAACGUAACUAGAUACAUCCGUAUUUAGAGAAAUUUAAGACAACAAUUUUGGGACGGAGAGAGUAUUUC